rnacentral:rRNA from 1 species
CCCAUCGUAUGUCUCAUAGAAUGUAAAUAUAUGUCCUCGCCUUAAAAAGCGUUGAUAAACUUAUACAACUUUCAACAACGGAUCUCUUGGCUCUCGCAUCGAUGAAGAACGCAGCGAAAUGCGAUAAGUAAUGUGAAUUGCAGAUAUUCAGUGAAUCAUCGAAUCUUUGAACGCACCUUGCGCUCCUUGGUAUUCCGAGGAGCAUGCCUGUUUGAGUGUCAUUAAAUUCUCAAACUCCGAUCGAUUUGUUUCGACUUCGGGGCUUGGAUUUGGAGCGUGCUGGCGUCGGUCGGCUCCUCUUAAACGCAUCAGCGGAAUCUAACGUUCCGGACGUCAGUGUGAUAAUCACGUUGCGCUGUCUUUCGGUCCGAAAAGCCCGCUCACAAUGGUCUUCGGACAACUUCAUAUCAAAUUUGACCUCAAAUCAGGUAGGACUACCCGCUGAACUUAAGCAUAUCAAUAAGCGGAGGAAAAGAAACUAACAAGGAUUCCCCUAGUAACUGCGAGUGAAGCGGGAAAAGCUCAAAUUUAAAAUCUGGCGGUCUUGCGGCCGUCCGAGUUGUAAUCUGGAGAAGCGUUUAUCCGCGUCGG